rnacentral:rRNA from 1 species
CCUACGGGGAGCAGCAGUGAGGAAUAUUGGUCAAUGGGCGAGAGCCUGAACCAGCCAAGUCGCGUGAGGGAGUACUGCCCUAUGGGUUGUAAACCUCUUUUGUCGGGGAGCAAAAGCCGGACGUGUCCGGCUGUGAGAGUACCCGAAGAAAAAGCAUCGGCUAACUCCGUGCCAGCAGCCGCGGUAAUACGGAGGAUGCGAGCGUUAUCCGGAUUUAUUGGGUUUAAAGGGUGCGCAGGCGGAUUAUUAAGUCAGCGGUAAAAUCGUGGGGCUCAACCCCAUCCAGCCGUUGAAACUGGGGAUCUAGAGUGUGCGAGAGGUAUGCGGAAUGCGUGGUGUAGCGGUGAAAUGCAUAGAUAUCACGCAGAACCCCGAUUGCGAAGGCAGCAUACCGGUGCACAACUGACGCUCAGGCACGAAAGCGUGGGUAUCGAACAGGAUUAGAUACCCCAGUAGUC